rnacentral:tRNA from 1 species
GGAGAAUUACCCAAGUGGUUGAAGGGACUGGUUUCGAAAACCAGCAGGCGUGCAAGCGCGCGGGGGUUCAAAUCCCUCAUUCUCCGCCA